rnacentral:rRNA from 1 species
UAGCUAGUUGGUGAGGUAAAGGCUUACCAAGGCGACGAUCUGUAGCGGGUCUGAGAGGAUGAUCCGCCACACUGGAACUGAGACACGGUCCAGACUCCUACGGGAGGCAGCAGUGGGGAAUUUUGGACAAUGGGGGCAACCCUGAUCCAGCCAUGCCGCGUGAGUGAAGAAGGCCUUCGGGUUGUAAAGCUCUUUCGGCCGGGAAGAAAUCGCAUGGGUCAAUACCCUGUGUGGAUGACGGUACCGGAAUAAGAAGCACCGGCUAACUACGUGCCAGCAGCCGCGGUAAUACGUAGGGUGCGAGCGUUAAUCGGAAUUACUGGGCGUAAAGCGUGCGCAGGCGGUUUUGUAAGACAGGCGUGAAAUCCCCGGGCUUAACCUGGGAACUGCGUUUGUGACUGCAAGGCUAGAGUACGGCAGAGGGGGGUGGAAUUCCACGUGUAGCAGUGAAAUGCGUAGAGAUGUGGAGGAACACCAAUGGCGAAGGCAGCCCCCUGGGUCGAUACUGACGCUCAUGCACGAAAGCGUGGGUAGCAAACAGGAUUAGAUACCCUGGUAGUCCACGCCCUAAACUAUGUCAACUAGGUGUUGGGUGGGUAAAACCAUUUAGUACCGUAGCUAACGCGUGAAGUUGACCGCCUGGGGAGUACGGCCGCAAGGUUAAAACUCAAAGGAAUUGACGGGGACCCGCACAAGCGGUGGAUGAUGUGGAUUAAUUCGAUGCAACGCGAAAAACCUUACCUACCCUUGACAUGCCAGGAACUUGCCAGAGAUGGCUUGGUGCCCGAAAGGGAGCCUGGACACAGGUGCUGCAUGGCUGUCGUCAGCUCGUGUCGUGAGAUGUUGGGUUAAGUCCCGCAACGAGCGCAACCCUUGUCGUUAAUUGCCAUCAUUUGGUUGGGCACUUUAACGAGACUGCCGGUGACAAACCGGAGGAAGGUGGGGAUGACGUCAAGUCCUCAUGGCCCUUAUGGGUAGGGCUUCACACGUCAUACAAUGGUCGGUACAAAGGGUUGCCAAGCCACGAGGCGGAGCCAAUCCCAGAAAGCCGAUCGUAGUCCGGAUUGCAGGCUGCAACUCGCCUGCAUGAAGUCGGAAUCGCUAGUAAUCGUGGAUCAGCAUGUCACGGUGAAUACGUUCCCGGGUCUUGUACACACCGCCCGUCACACCAUGGGAGCGGGUUCCGCCAGAAGUAGGUAGCCUAACCGCAAGGGGGGCGCUUACCACGGCGGGGUUCGUGACUGGGGUGAAGUCGUAACAAGGUGGCCGUAGGGGAACCUGCGGCUG